GGAUCUCUGCCCCGGGUGCGUCGCAGCCCCGGACCAAGGCGCCCGCCGGAGGACCAACCAAAACUCUUAUUGUAUACCCCCUCGCGGGUUUUUUUAUAAUCUGAGCCUUCUCGGCGCCUCUCGUAGGCGUUUCGAAAAUGAAUCAAAACUUUCAACAACGGAUCUCUUGGUUCUGGCAUCGAUGAAGAACGCAGCGAAAUGCGAUAAGUAAUGUGAAUUGCAGAAUUCAGUGAAUCAUCGAAUCUUUGAACGCACAUUGCGCCCGCCAGUAUUCUGGCGGGCAUGCCUGUCCGAGCGUCAUUUCAACCCUCGAACCCCUCCGGGGGGUCGGCGUUGGGGAUCGGCCCUCCCUCUAGCGGGGGCCGUCUCCGAAAUACAGUGGCGGUCUCGCCGCAGCCUCUCCUGCGCAGUAGUUUGCACACUCGCAUCGGGAGCGCGGCG
rnacentral:rRNA from 1 species